rnacentral:rRNA from 1 species
GAUGAACGCUGGCGGCGUGCCUAAUACAUGCAAGUCGAGCGAACAGACGAGGAGCUUGCUUCUCUGAUGUUAGCGGCGGACGGGUGAGUAACACGUGGAUAACCUACCUAUAAGACUGGGAUAACUUCGGGAAACCGGAGCUAAUACCGGAUAAUAUAUUGAACCGCAUGGUUCAAUAGUGAAAGACGGUCUUGCUGUCACUUAUAGAUGGAUCCGCGCUGCAUUAGCUAGUUGGUAAGGUAACGGCUUACCAAGGCAACGAUGCAUAGCCGACCUGAGAGGGUGAUCGGCCACACUGGAACUGAGACACGGUCCAGACUCCUACGGGAGGCAGCAGUAGGGAAUCUUCCGCGAUGGGCGAAAGCCUGACGGAGCAACGCCGCGUGAGUGAUGAAGGUCUUCGGAUCGUAAAACUCUGUUAUUAGGGAAGAACAUAUGUGUAAGUAACUAUGCACAUCUUGACGGUACCUAAUCAGAAAGCCACGGCUAACUACGUG